AGAGUUUGAUCCUGGCUCAGGAUGAACGCUGGCGGCGUGCCUAAUACAUGCAAGUCGAGCAACCACUUCGGUGGUGAGCGGCGAACGGGUGAGUAACACGUAGGUGAUCUGCCCAUCAGAGGGGACAACGAUUGGAAACGAUCGCUAAUACCGGAUAGGACGAAAGUUUAAAGGUGCUCCGGCACCGCUGAUGGAUGAGCCUGCGGCGCAUUAGCUAGUUGGUAGGGUAAAGGCCUACCAGGCGACGAUGCGUAGCCGACCUGAGAGGGUGAACGGCCACACUGGGACUGAGACACGGCCAGACUCCUACGGGAGGCAGCAGUAGGGAAUCUUCGGCAAUGGGCGAAAGCCUGACCGAGCACGCCGCGUGAAUGAUGAAGGCCUUCGGGUUGUAAAAUUCUGUUAUAAGGGAAGAACGACUUAGUAGGAAAUGGCUAAAGUGUGACGGUACCUUAUGAGAAAGCCACGGCUAACUACGUGCAGCAGCCGCGGUAAUACGUAGGUGGCAAGCGUUAUCCGGAAUUAUUGGGCGUAAAGAGCCGCAGGUGGUUGAUUAAGUCUGAUGUGAAAAGCCCACGG
rnacentral:rRNA from 1 species